AAAUUGAAGAGUUUGAUCAUGGCUCAGAUUGAACGCUGGCGGCAGGCCUAACACAUGCAAGUCGAACGGUAACAGGAAGCAGCUUGCUGCUUUGCUGACGAGUGGCGGACGGGUGAGUAAUGUCUGGGAAACUGCCUGAUGGAGGGGGAUAACUACUGGAAACGGUAGCUAAUACCGCAUAACGUCGCAAGACCAAAGAGGGGGACCUUCGGGCCUCUUGCCAUCGGAUGUGCCCAGAUGGGAUUAGCUAGUAGGUGGGGUAACGGCUCACCUAGGCGACGAUCCCUAGCUGGUCUGAGAGGAUGACCAGCCACACUGGAACUGAGACACGGUCCAGACUCCUACGGGAGGCAGCAGUGGGGAAUAUUGCACAAUGGGCGCAAGCCUGAUG
rnacentral:rRNA from 1 species